AAUCGGAAUCGGUGUUGUAAUCAGGGGUUUCCUUUCGUCGCUCGGAGGAUUUGGCUUAUCAUUAUCGUGGUAACUGUUACGACCAUGGUAAUUCGAGUCUUGUGCCGCUGCUAAUCCCAAGACUAUAGCCAGGAUCUACCACAAUAAAACGUCUGCUUAGGAGAAACAUUUAAUUCAAAGGUGGUCGGGUGAUGCAAGCUGCCGGAGAAUUGAAUGGAUAAAUUCCUGUGGGGAGAGACCGAAUUUUAAUGCGAUGCGAUAGAAGAUUUAUCUACCGCUUCUUCACCGUAGCAUCCUUCGAUACGGAGUCAGUGAGAUGAGUGAAAGUAACUGAAAGAUAUUCAAGAUGGUGGCAUCUACAAUCGACGUUCAUAACAGCGAACCGAUGCGUAGGAGAACCUUUUGUGACCAUAACCGAGAUUCCUUCGGUCCCUCGUAACCAUUUCGUCAAGAACCCUUAUGUAACAUUUCGAAUCGGUUAUUUCUGGAAGAGUUUCAGCCCGUGGUUUGCAUCGAUUUCUGAACGCUCUCACCGUAAAUUGUAAUAUGAUAACACUUUCCAUAUUUGGAUGCGCAUUAUCAUUACUGUAAGUCGAUGGUCUGUAGAGCACACACAAACGAAUGUAAUGAAACGGUGAGAAAAACUUG